GGUAUUUAGCUCAGUGGCAUAAGCACCUGCCUUGCAAGCAGGCAUUCCUGAGUUCAAUCCCUGGUACCG
rnacentral:tRNA from 1 species